GACGAACGCUGGCGGCGUGCUUAACACAUGCAAGUCGAACGGAAAGGCCUCUUUCGGGGGGUACUCGAGUGGCGAACGGGUGAGUAACACGUGAGUAACCUGCCCUUGACUUUGGGAUAACUUCAGGAAACUGGGGCUAAUACCGGAUAGGAGCUCCUGCUGCAUGGUGGGGGUUGGAAAGUUUCGGCGGUUGGGGGUGGACUCGCGGCUUAUCAGCUUGUUGGUGGGGUAGUGGCUUACCAAGGGUUUGACGGGUAGCCGGCCUGAGAGGGUGACCGGCCACAUUGGGACUGAGAUACGGCCCAGACUCCUACGGGAGGCAGCAGUGGGGAAUAUUGCACAAUGGGUGGAAGCCUGAUGCAGCAACGCCGUGUGCGGGAUGACGGCCUUCGGGUUGUAAACCGCUUUCGCUCAUGACGAAGCUUUGUGUGACGGUAGUGGGUAAAGAAGCACCGGCUAACUACGUG
rnacentral:rRNA from 1 species